GCAUAGGGACAGACUUUUGUGCUCUAGCUGAAAUGUGACUUUUUUCUGCUAAAAUAGGAAUGGACCCAGAACAACAUGUAACAAUGUAUAGACAAACUUGCUGGCUUCUCACGAAGUGUAAUACGUAAUGGUUAGGAGCCAUUUGCCUCACACACCUUAAGAAUAUGCAGAACUCCUUCUUCUAAGAGCUCUUCAGCAACUCUCACUGGCCCUCCCUGGUUUGGAAGAUGCUGCUCAGCAGAUGGGCCCAGAUUGCUGUCAGGGAUGUGAUGCUUAUUUGGUGUGUUAUUUUGUCCGGAA
rnacentral:lncRNA from 1 species